rnacentral:rRNA from 1 species
GAUGAACGCUGGCGGCAUGCUUUACACAUGCAAGUCGGACGGGAAGUGGUGUUUCCCGUGGCGGACGGGUGAGUAACGCGUAAGAACCUGCCCUUGGGAGGGGAACAACAGCUGGAAACGGCUGCUAAUACCCCGUAGGCUGAGGAGCGAAAGGAGGAAUCCGCCCAAGGAGGGGCUCGCGUCUGAUUAGCUAGUUGGUGAGGUAAUAGCUUACCAAGGCCGUGAUCAGUAGCUGGUCCGAGAGGAUGAUCAGCCACACUGGGACUGAGACAAGGCCCAGACUCCUACGGGAGGCAGCAGUGGGGAAUUUUCCGCAAUGGGCGAAAGCCUGACGGAGCAAUGCCGCGUGGAGGUAAAAGGCCUACGGGUCAUGAACUUCUUUUCCUGGAGAAGAAACAAUGACGGUAUCUGGGGAAUAAGCAUCGGCUAACUCUGU